rnacentral:snRNA from 1 species
AGCUAUAGCUCAUUUAGAAUUUUUUUCUAGCAGUUUUUUUUUUUUUUUUUUUUUUUUUUUUUGACUUUGGUAGAAAAACCCAU